AGCAAGCUGCCAUGCUGUGAAUAACCCUGUGGAAAGACCUGCAAAGAACUGGGGUCUCUGGCCAAUAGCGAGUUUGGCUCUGAGGCCCGCCAACAGCCACAUGAAUGAUCUUGGAAGCAGUGUCCUCUACGAAGCCUUGAGAGGACUGCAGCCCUGGCCAACUCCUUGAUUUCAGUCUCUCUUGUAAGAAAUCCUGGAUUUUCUUUAGGCUUAUGAAGAGUCUCAGGCACCCAGACUAACUGCAACUGCAUCCUGAUUCCUGAAAGACAGUCUUGAAAUGCCUGUCUGCUGCUUUAAUCCACUAUGUUUUGGAGAUUGUUACACAGCAGUACAUAGCUAAUACACUGAGUAUUUGUAAUACAAGAUAUUUGUAAUACAAGAUAUCCUGAAAGACAGUCUUGAAAUGCCUGUCUGCUGCUUUAAUCCACUAUGUUUUGGGGGUUGUUACACAGCAGUAGAUAGCUAAUACACUGAGUAUUUGUAAUACAAGAUAUUUGGCUUUAUGUAAGACUCUGGCUUCAAGAGUGUUUGCAUUCUUUGAAAGCUUUGUUCAUACGUGAAGGAAAAAUCAGUGACUCCGACCCAGGAAAUCUUUCUCUGAGCCUCCCAGCUCCACGGCUGAUCGACAGAGCGUCUCUGGGUUAACCACCUUCAGUUUCCUCACCUUUAAAAAAGGGAGUCGGUUGUCAGAGGACAUCCUGGCCUGUGAAGAUGAGCACUUCCUCCCGGGAAUCGGGUGGAGCCAAGGUGGAGGUCCUUCCUGGUGUUACUCCUCUAACUGAAGCCUGUCUUCUGUUCAGUAGACAAAGAAAGUACCUCAUGACUUCCUGCAUCCUAUUCUCCGGGGUGUCAUCCUUAGAUGAGAUCUUGCUAUGCUGCCCAGGGUGGUCUUGA